UACGUAGGGGGCUAGCGUUGUCCGGAAUCAUUGGGCGUAAAGCGCGUGUAGGCGGUCCGGUAAGUCCGCUGUGAAAGUCGAGGGCUCAACCCUCGAAUGCCGGUGGAUACUGUCGGGCUUGAGUACGGGAGAGGCGAGUGGAAUUCCUGGUGUAGCGGUGAAAUGCGCAGAUAUCGGGAAGAACACCAAAGGCGAAAGCGCUCUGCUGGGCCGAAACUGACACUGAGAGACGAAAGCUAGGGGAGCGAAUGGG
rnacentral:rRNA from 1 species